rnacentral:rRNA from 1 species
GAUGAACGCUAGCGGCAGGCCUAAUACAUGCAAGUCGAGGGGCAGCGCGGUAGCAAUACUGGCGGCGACCGGCGCACGGGUGCGUAACACGUAUGCAACCUACCUUCAACUGGAGGAUAGCCCGGGGAAACUCGGAUUAAUACUCCAUAACACAGGGAUCCCGCAUGGGAAUAUUGUUAAAGCUACGGCGGUUGAAGAUGGGCAUGCGUUCGAUUAGCUAGUUGGUGUAGGUAACGGCUCACCAAGGCUACGAUCGAUAGGGGGUCUGAGAGGAUGAUCCCCCACACUGGUACUGAGAUACGGACCAGACUCCUACGGGAGGCAGCAGUAGGGAAUAUUGGUCAAUGGGCGCAAGCCUGAACCAGCCAUGCCGCGUGCAGGAAGAAGGCCCUCUGGGUUGUAAACUGCUUUUGAUAGGGAACAAAUGCCACUUGCGAGUGGAGCUGAGUGUACCUAUAGAAUAAGCCACGGCUAACUACGUGCCAGCAGCCGCGGUAAU